rnacentral:rRNA from 1 species
ACUCAAAGGAAUAGACGGGGGCCCGCACAAGCAGCGGAGCGUGUGGUUUAAUUCGAUGAUACGCGAAGAACCUUACCUGGGUUUGACAUAUAGGUAGUAGUGCGGUGAAAGCCGGACGACCCUUCGGGGAGCCUAUACAGGUGCUGCAUGGCUGUCGUCAGCUCGUGUCGUGAGAUGUUGGGUUAAGUCCCGCAACGAGCGCAACCCUCGUCGUUAGUUACAAGUGUCUAACGAGACUGCUGGUUUCAAACCGGAGGAAGGUGGGGAUGACGUCAAGUCAGCAUGGUCUUUAUAUCCAGGGCUACACACACGCUACAAUGGCCGGUACAAUGGGUGGCCACACCGCAAGGUGGCGCUAAUCCUCAAAGCCGGUCUCAGUUCAGAUUGUCGUCUGCAACUCGACGGCAUGAAGGCGGAGUUGCUAGUAACCGCGCGUCAGCCAUAGUGCGGUGAAUGCGUUCCCGGGCCUUGCACACACCGCCCGU